rnacentral:rRNA from 1 species
GCAUAUCAAUAAGCGGAGGAAAAGAAACCAACAGGGAUUGCCUCAGUAACGGCGAGUGAAGCGGCAAGAGCUCAAAUUUGAAAGCUGGCCCCCUCGGGGUCCGCGUUGUAAUUUGCAGAGGAUGCUUCGGGUGCAGCCCCCGUCUAAGUGCCCUGGAACGGGCCGUCAUAGAGGGUGAGAAUCCCGUCUGGGACGGGGUGUCUGCGUCCGUGUGAAGCUCCUUCGACGAGUCGAGUUGUUUGGGAAUGCAGCUCUAAAUGGGUGGUAAAUUUCAUCUAAAGCUAAAUACUGGCCGGAGACCGAUAGCGCACAAGUAGAGUGAUCGAAAGAUGAAAAGCACUUUGAAAAGAGAGUUAAACAGCACGUGAAAUUGUUGAAAGGGAAGCGUUUGCGACCAGACUCGCCCGCGGGGUUCAGCCGGCACUCGUGCCGGUGUACUUCCCCGUGGGCGGGCCAGCGUCGGUUUGGGCGGCCGGUCAAAGGCCCUCGGAAUGUAUCACCUCUCGGGGUGUCUUAUAGCCGAGGGUGCAAUGCGGCCUGCCCGGACCGAGGAACGCGCUUCGGCUCGGACGCUGGCGUAAUGGUCGUAAAUGACCCGUCUUGAAACACGGACCAAGGAGUCUAACAUCUACGCGAGUGUUCGGGUGUCAAACCCGUACGCGCAGUGAAAGCGAACGGAGGUGGGAGCCCCCUCGUGGGGCGCACCAUCGACCGAUCCUGAUGUCUUCGGAUGGAUUUGAGUACGAGCGUAGCUGUGGGGACCCGAAAGAUGGUGAACUAUGCCUGAAUAGGGCGAAGCCAGAGGAAACUCUGGUGGAGGCUCGCAGCGGUUCUGACGUGCAAAUCGAUCGUCAAAUUUGGGUAUAGGGGCGAAAGACUAAUCGAACCAUCUAGUAGCUGGUUCCUGCCG